UGGGGAAUUUUGGACAAUGGGCGCAAGCCUGAUCCAGCAAUGCCGCGUGCAGGACGAAGGCCUUCGGGUUGUAAACUGCUUUUGUACGGAACGAAAAAGCUCUCUCUAAUACAGGGGGUGAAUGACGGUACCGUAAGAAUAAGCACCGGCUAACUACGUGCCAGCAGCCGCGGUAAUACGUAGGGUGCAAGCGUUAAUCGGAAUUACUGGGCGUAAAGCGUGCGCAGGCGGUUUUGUAAGACAGAGGUGAAAUCCCCGGGCUCAACCUGGGAACUGCCUUUGUGACUGCAAAGCUGGAGUGCGGCAGAGGGGGAUGGAAUUCCGCGUGUAGCAGUGAAAUGCGUAGAUAUGCGGAGGAACACCGAUGGCGAAGGCGGCUUCCUGGUCCAACACUGACAUUCAGGUGCGAAAGCGUGGGGAGCAAACA
rnacentral:rRNA from 1 species